rnacentral:rRNA from 1 species
UACGUAGGGUGCAAGCGUUGUCCGGAAUUAUUGGGCGUAAAGAGCUCGUAGGCGGUUUGUCGCGUCUGGUGUGAAAAUCCAGGGCUUAACCCUGGACCUGCAUCGGGUACGGGCAGACUAGAGUGCGGUAGGGGAGAUCGGAAUUCCUGGUGUAGCGGUGAAAUGCGCAGAUAUCAGGAGGAACACCGGUGGCGAAGGCGGGACUCUGGGCCGAUACUGACGCUGAGGAGCGAAAGCGUGGGGAGCAAACAGG